rnacentral:SRP_RNA from 1 species
GCCAGGCGUGGUGGCGCACACCUGUAAUCCCAGCUACUCAGGAGGCUGAGGCAGGAGAAUUGCUUGAACCUGGGAGGCAGAAGUUGCAGUGAGCUGAGAUCGUGCCACUGCACUUCAGCCUGGGUGACAGAGCGAGACUCCGUCUCAA